rnacentral:miRNA from 1 species
CAACAAGUCAUAGUCUACCUCA